AUUGAACGCUGGCGGAAUGCUUUACACAUGCAAGUCGAACGGCAGCACGGACUUCGGUCUGGUGGCGAGUGGCGAACGGGUGAGUAAUGUAUCGGAACGUGCCCAGUCGUGGGGGAUAACGUAGUGAAAAUUAACCUAAUACCGCAUACAAUCUAUGGAUGAAAGCGGGGGAUCGCAAGACCUCGCGCUAUUAGAGCGGCCGAUAUCAGGUUAGGUAGUUGGUCGGGUAAAGGCCCAACAAGCCAACGAACUGUAGCUGGUCUGAGAGGACGACAAGCCACACUGGAACUGAGACACGGUCCAGACUCCUACGGGAGGCAGCAGUGGGGAAUUUUGGACAAUGGGCGAAAGCCUGAUCCAGCCAUUCCGCGUGCAGGAUGAAGGCCCUCGGGUUGUAAACUGCUUUUGUACAGAACGAAAAGGUUUCUACUAGUACUAGGAGCUCAUGACGGUACUGUAAGAAUAAGCACCGGCUAACUACGUGCCAGCCGCCGCAGUAA
rnacentral:rRNA from 1 species